GUAUUGAUGAAGAGUCCCAAACCAGGACGAAACAUCCGUCCAGUAC
rfam:Trichobilharzia regenti genome assembly, scaffold: TRE_scaffold0027274